GAUGAACGCUGGCGGCGUGCCUAAUACAUGCGAGUCGAGCGAACGGACGAGAAGCUUGCUUCUCUGAUGUUAGCGGCGGACGGGUGAGUAACACGUGGAUAACCUACCUAUAAGACUGGGAUAACUUCGGGAAACCGGAGCUAAUACCGGAUAAUAUUUUGAACCGCAUGGUUCAAAAGUGAAAGACGGUCUUGCUGUCACUUAUAGAUGGAUCCGCGCUGCAUUAGCUAGUUGGUAAGGUAACGGCUUACCAAGGCAACGAUGCAUAGCCGACCUGAGAGGGUGAUCGGCCACCCUGGAACUGAGACACGGUCCAGACUCCUACGGGAGGCAGCAGUAGGGAAUCUUCCGCAAUGGGCGAAAGCCUGACGGAGCAACGCCGCGUGAGUGAUGAAGGUCUUCGGAUCGUAAAACUCUGUUAUUAGGGAAGAACAUAUGUGUAAGUAACUGUGCACAUCUUGACGGUACCUAAGCAGAAAGCCACGGCUAACUACGU
rnacentral:rRNA from 1 species